GACGAACGCUGGCGGCGUGCCUAAUACAUGCAAGUCGAACGCUUUUUCUUUCACCGGAGCUUGCUCCACCGAAAGAAAAAGAGUGGCGAACGGGUGAGUAACACGUGGGUAACCUGCCCAUCAGAAGGGGAUAACACUUGGAAACAGGUGCUAAUACCGUAUAACACUAUUUUCCGCAUGGAAGAAAGUUGAAAGGCGCUUUUGCGUCACUGAUGGAUGGACCCGCGGUGCAUUAGCUAGUUGGUGAGGUAACGGCUCACCAAGGCAACGAUGCAGAGCCGGCCUGAGAGGGUGAUCGGCCACACUGGGACUGAGACACGGCCCAGACUCCUACGGGAGGCAGCAGUAGGGAAUCUUCGGCAAUGGACGAAAGUCUGACCGAGCAACGCCGCGUGAGUGAAGAAGGUUUUCGGAUCGUAAAACUCUGUUGUUAGAGAAGAACAAGGAUGAGAGUAAAACGUUCAUCCCUUGACGGUAUCUAACCAGAAAGCCACGGCUAACUACGUGCCAGCCGCCGCGGUAA
rnacentral:rRNA from 1 species